CAUCCACAAUAUUUCACCAGAAUUACCAGUUUGGCUUAACAGAUAUGAAGGCUGGCGGUGGAGUGGUGUUCGGAGUUCCACGCGCCUCCGCGUUUCCCGCAGUUCUCUUCAGCCAUCGCCGCCCUGCCAUUCGCUGCUACUCCUCAUCUCUUCCAGACCACGCUUCGUUCAUAAAAGAUGUCGCUGCCGCAAAACCGCCGGAGCAUUUGAAUCAACUUCUUAGAAUACUUCAGGUCAGAGGAGAGCAAAUUGUUUCUCCUGGGGCUAAGCAAGGUUUGCUUCCACUUGCUGUUCCCCUCUCCAAAACUAACUCAGGUUCUGUAACUGCAUUGUUGCGGUGGCCAACUGCUCCUACUGGGAUGGAGAUGCCGGUAGUGGAGGUUCGUGAAUAUGGGGUUUGGCUUUUGGCUAAAAACGUUGAGCAGUAUAUCAAGAGAAUCUUAGUGGAAGAAGAUGUAAAGAACCCUCAGGAAAGAAACGAGGAGCUAUUUAGUGCUUCAGCUGAUGCAGGAAAUAACUUUUAUGAGAAGGGUGAUUUUGCUGCGUCUGGGAUUGCAAGCUUAGAGUCAUAUCUUUUGAAGAAGGUAGGUUUGUUUCCAGACAUACUUGAACGCAAAGUAAAGCAGCACUUUGACAAAGGAGACCAUGUCUCAGCUUUGGUAACUGGGGAGUUCUAUACUAAAAAGGAGCAUUUUCCAGGAUUUGGGCGGCCCUUUGUGUUCAACGCUGAAGUUCUGCUCAAAGUUGGACGAACUGCAGAAGCAAAGGAUGCUGCAAGGGGUGCUCUGAAAUCACCAUGGUGGACACUGGGCUGUAAGUAUCAGGAAGUUGCUGAUAUAGCUCAAUGGGAUGAUGAACAAAUUGAGUACAUAAAAGAGAAAGUGACGGAUGAAGGAAGGCAAGAGGACUUGAAAAAGGGAAAGGAGCCUGCUCAGAUUGCGCUGGACGAAGCUGCUUUCUUAUUAGAUUUAGCAUCAGUUGAAGGAACCUGGGAUGCAUGUGUGGAGAGAGUUGCUGACUGUUACAGCCGACCGAGAUAUUGUGUUCACAAGCGCCGUUUCUACUAUAGAGUUGAAGAAAAAUUCCCAGCAGUGGCAGCACUCGAAUAUGGGUGUGUACACAACAGUAUCAAAAAUAGCUGCAUCCCUUGGUGAAGCCAAUGCCUUCAAUUGCUUUCCAAGAUUGAGGAUAGUUUCUUGACACUCUGCCAAUUUCUCGGAAGCUGCACUAAUCUCCCAAUCCUGGAAAAUUAGAGGGCUUUCCAUCAUCCUGAACUCCGUUGCUUCUCAUGCUGAAAUGACAAAGUUAGAAAAAGAAAGCCUAAAAAUGUGUUUCCUAAGUUAAGAUUAGAACAAAAUGUACCUUUUUGGCUGUGUCUCUUGGUUACUGCAUGUCUCUUCCUGUCUCUUAACAGAGUUACUCUUAUCUUC